rnacentral:rRNA from 1 species
AUUGAACGCUGGCGGCAGGCCUAACACAUGCAAGUCGAACGAGGGGCGGACGGGUGAGUAAUGUCUGGGAAACUGCCUGAUGGAGGGGGAUAACUACUGGAAACGGUAGCUAAUACCGCAUACCAUCAGAUGUGCCCAGAAGGGAUUAGCUUGUUGGUGGGGUAACGGCUCACCAAGGCGACGAUCCCUAGCUGGUCUGAGCGGAUGACCAGCCACACGGGAACGUGGACACGGUCCAGACUCGUACGGGAGGCAGCAGUGGGGAAUAUUGCACAAGCGGCGGAAGCCUGAUGCAGCCAUGCCGCGUGUAUGAAGAAGGCCUUCGGGGUGUAAAGUACUUUCAGCGUGGAGGCGUUACCCGCAGAAGAAGCACCGGCUAACUCCGUGCCAGCAGCCGCGGUAAUUC